GAGGAUGACUGGGAGGCAGCGUGCCCCACCCCUUCACAGCUACAGAACUCUGGAUCACAAAAGUGCCGAGGCCUCAAACUCAGGAAGCGGGGAGGGGACUUGGGAUGUUCCCUCGGCAAGAGGCUGCCGCGUAGAAAGGAGAAACGGGAACUCUAAAAGGCC
rnacentral:lncRNA from 1 species